UACAGAGGGUGCGAGCGUUGUCCGGAAUCACUGGGCGUAAAGGGCGCGUAGGCGGCUUGAUAAGCGUGCGGUGAAAGCCCGGGGCUCAACCCCGGGUCGGCCGUGCGAACUGUCGAGCUGGAGCACUGUAGAGGCAGGUGGAAUUCCGGGUGUAGCGGUGGAAUGCGUAGAGAUCCGGAAGAACACCGGUGGCGAAGGCGGCCUGCUGGGCAGUGGCUGACGCUGGAGGCGCGACAGCGUGGGGAGCAAACAGG
rnacentral:rRNA from 1 species